rnacentral:rRNA from 1 species
GAUCCUGGCUCAGGAUGAACGCUGGCGGCGUGCCUAACACAUGCAAGUCGAACGAAGCACCUUACUUGAUUCUUCGGAUGAAGGUCUGGUGACUGAGUGGCGGACGGGUGAGUAACGCGUGGGUAACCUGCCCUGUACAGGGGGAUAACAGCUGGAAACGGCUGCUAAUACCGCAUAAGCGCACGAAGAGACAUCUCCUAGUGUGAAAAACUCCGGUGGUACAGGAUGGGCCCACGU